rnacentral:miRNA from 1 species
UAAAAGAACCGAUCUUAAAAGUGGCACUUUUAAGAUCGGUUGAAAUUUAACCGAUCUUAAAAGUUCUUUUAAGAUCAGUUAUUUUA